GGUUCCCGCCCGCGCCUCUCCCUCCACACCUCCCCGCAAGCAGAGGGAGCCGGCUCCGGCCUUGGCCAGCCCAGAGACAGGCUCCCACAGUGCAGCGGCGGGCUGAAGGGCUCCUCAAGCACUGCCAGAGUGGACGCCGAGGCCGAGGAGACGCCAAGAGCGAUGAAACAAGCUUCCGGUUCAAGGGUUUCUUCAGGUUCCACUACGGGCUGUUCUUCUGCAGGUGCACCGAUGUCCACAGUGCUACCUUCUGAUGAGCUACUGCUUUCAUUCAGUUUCUGCUGACUUAAUAUGUGAGCUGACAGAAUGCAGAGACCACGUUGUAUAUGAAGCAUCCACUUUGCCUUAUACACCAGGGCAUUCAAUAACCACUUAAUAACUACAACCCUGAUGAUCCGAUUCACUACUAAAGUCUUCCGUGUUUAAAUUUUCAAAGUCAGAUUCUCCUACAGCAAUUGGUACAGUCACAGUAAGACUGGGGUUGUUUAUGAAUGACAUGUAAUCACUUUCAUCAAUAAUGUAUUUUUCAACACUGCUGCCAGUUCCUAUACCACUUGUAGUUCCAUUUACAUCUUUAAGAUAGUCAAGAUCUUUCCCAAUUUCUGUUGUAUGAUUGGACAUACAACUGUCUUUCUUGUUGUUUAGAUCAUCAAGUGGUUUAAUUUCAUCUAAAAUCUUUUGUUUCCUAAUGAAGGACUGUUGAAUAAAUUCAU
rnacentral:antisense_RNA from 1 species